rnacentral:rRNA from 1 species
CCCUUAGAUGUUCUGGGCCGCACGCGCGCUACACUGUUCGGCGCAGCGAGUCUUAACCUUGACCGAAAGGUUUGGGUAAUCUUCAGCAAAGUCGAACGUGAUGGGGAUCGAUCAUUGCAAUUAUUGAUCGUGAACGAGGAAUUCCUAGUAAGCGUGAGUCAUCAGCUCGCGUUGAUUACGUCCCUGCCCUUUGUACACACCGCCCGUCGCUACUACCGAUUGAAUGGCUUAGUGAGCCUUUGGGAUUGGCAGCCAACACCGGCAACGGUAGCUGGCCGCCGAAAACUUAUGCAAACUUGGUCAUUUAGAGGAAGUAAAAGUCGUAACA